rnacentral:rRNA from 1 species
AGGGCACCACCAGGAGUGGAGCCUGCGGCUUAAUUUGACUCAACACGGGGAAACUCACCCGGCCCGGACACCGUAAGGAUUGACAGAUUGAUAGCUCUUUCAUGAUUCGGUGGUUGGUGGUGCAUGGCUGUUCUUAGUUCGUGGAUCAAUUUGUCUGGUUUAUUCCGAUAACGAGCGAGACUCUAGCCUACUAAAUAGUAACGAGAUUAUCAUUGUCCUCAGUUGCUUCCCUUGAAGGAUUUUCCCGUGUUUUACCGCCCCAAGAUUUGAGCAUUAACAGGGCCUGGAAUCCCCUUAAAAUGUCCCGGGCUUUGCCGCCGCGCUUCACCUGGGCAAAUCAGGGGGGGUGGGAUCCAUUCUCCAAAAGGGAUGGGUAAACCCCUUGAAAAUUUGGCCGUGGUUUGGGAUCCGAAAUUGCAAUUAUUUUUCCGGGAAGGAGAAAUCUCAAGAAAGUGGGGACCACCAAUCCCUCUUAAUUACGUCCCUGCCCCUUGGAACCCCCGCCCGUCCUUGCCCGGG